AGCGGAACGAGUUAUCUGAACCUUCGGGGAACGAUAACGGCGUCGAGCGGCGGACGGGUGAGUAAUGCCUAGGAAAUUGCCCUGAUGUGGGGGAUAACCAUUGGAAACGAUGGCUAAUACCGCAUGAUGCCUACGGGCCAAAGAGGGGGACCUUCGGGCCUCUCGCGUCAGGAUAUGCCUAGGUGGGAUUAGCUAGUUGGUGAGGUAAGGGCUCACCAAGGCGACGAUCCCUAGCUGGUCUGAGAGGAUGAUCAGCCACACUGGAACUGAGACACGGUCCAGACUCCUACGGGAGGCAGCAGUGGGGAAUAUUGCACAAUGGGCGCAAGCCUGAUGCAGCCAUGCCGCGUGUAUGAAGAAGGCCUUCGGGUUGUAAAGUACUUUCAGUCGUGAGGAAGGCGGCGUCGUUAAUAGCGGCGUUGUUUGACGUUAGCGACAGAAGAAGCACCGGCUAACUCCGUGCCAGCAGCCGCGGUAAUACGGAGGGUGCGAGCGUUAAUCGGAAUUACUGGGCGUAAAGCGCAUGCAGGUGGUUUGUUAAGUCAGAUGUGAAAGCCCGGGGCUCAACCUCGGAAUAGCAUUUGAAACUGGCAGACUAGAGUACUGUAGAGGGGGGUAGAAUUUCAGGUGUAGCGGUGAAAUGCGUAGAGAUCUGAAGGAAUACCGGUGGCGAAGGCGGCCCCCUGGACAGAUACUGACACU
rnacentral:rRNA from 1 species